UUUGUGUGUGUUUUUGUGCUUAGUAAAGCUUUAUUGCAAUAUGUUUGUACACAGUACUGUUGCUGCAAGCUAUUGAACUGCUAGAGUUGUGGUGAGAAUUAAA